UAAUACGAAGGGUGCAAGCGUUACUCGGAAUUACUGGGCGUAAAGCGUGCGUAGGUGGUUUGUUAAGUCUGUCGUGAAAUCCCCGGGCUCAACCUGGGAAUGGCGAUGGAUACUGGCAAGCUAGAGUGAGGUAGAGGAGAGUGGAAUUCCCGGUGUAGCAGUGAAAUGCGUAGAGAUCGGGAGGAACAUCAGUUGCGAAGGCGGCUCUCUGGACCAUCACUGACACUGAGGCACGAAAGCGUGGGGAGCAAACAGGAUUAGAUACCCUGGUAGUCCACGCCCUAAACGAUGCGAACUGGACGUUGGGCUCAAUUAGGAGCUCAGUGUCGAAGCUAACGCGUUAAGUUCGCCGCCUGGGGAGUACGGUCGCAAGACU
rnacentral:rRNA from 1 species